rnacentral:rRNA from 1 species
UUAAGUCCCGCCAACGAGCGCGAACCCCUAUUGUUAGUUGCCAUCAUUCAGUUGGGCACUCUAGCGAGACUGCCGGUAAUAAACCGGAGGAAGGUGGGAUGACGUCAAAUCAUCAUGCCCCUUAUGACCUGGGCUACACACGUGCUACAAUGGUUGGUACAACGAGUUGCGAGUCGGUGACGGCGAGCUAAUCUCUUAAAGCCAAUCUCAGUUCGGAUUGUAGGCUGCAACUCGCCUACAUGAAGUCGGAAUCGCUAGUAAUCGCGGAUCAGCACGCCGCGGUGAAUACGUUCCCGGGCCUU